rnacentral:misc_RNA from 1 species
GAACUGCGAUAAGUAGUGUGAAUUGCAGAAUUCAGUGAAUCAUCAAACUCUUGAACGCAAAUGGCGCCCUAUGGUAACGUAGGGCACGCCUGUUUGAGCCUCGGCAAUCAACCUCACCCUACCCCAAAAGGGCGGGUGGAUAUGAGGGUUACCCGUUUAUGGCGGGCAUCCCUUAAAAUGGAGGUUGCCAGGCUUGGUAGGAUCAUUGCUCCUGGGCCACGCAAACAACCAGUUCGAAGAUGACUUUUACGGUCUUGUUUGACUGGCUUGCAGUGAACCCCUGGGCAAUGCCUACCUCGAAGCUGGCCGGAUGUGCCCUUUGUUGGGUACCCUUCCAAAUCUUCGAGCUCAAAUCAGGCGAGGCUACCCGCUGAAUUUAA